rnacentral:tRNA from 1 species
GGCCGUAUGGCGGAAUUGGAAGACGCAGGGGCCUCAAAAGCUCCCGUUCGCAUCGAGCAUCCAGGUUCGAAUCCUGGUGCGGCCACCA